rnacentral:rRNA from 1 species
GACGAACGCUGGCGGCGUGCUUAACACAUGCAAGUCGAACGGAAAGGCGCUGCUUUUGUGGGGCGCUCGAGUGGCGAACGGGUGAGUAACACGUGAGUAACCUGCCCUUGACUUUGGGAUAACUUCAGGAAACUUGGGCUAAUAUCGGAUAGGAGCUCCUGCUGCGUGGGGGGGGAUGGAAAGCUUCGGCGGUGGGGGCUGGUCUCGCGGCUUAUGAGCUUGUUGGGUGGGUAGUGGCGUACCAAGGCUUUGACGGGUAGCCGGCACGGGAGGGUGGCCAGCCCCCAUGCUCCUGAGGUAGGCCCCAGUCGGCAAUGUUGGGCAACGGGCGGAAGCCUUACCCAGUGGGGCGGAGUCUGAUACGACGGCCCCGCGUUCGUGAACACGGCCUUCGGGUUAUGAACCGCUUUCGCCUGAGACGAGGCGUUCGUGACGGUACCGGAUAAAUAAGCACCGGCUAACUACGUG